rnacentral:rRNA from 1 species
UUCCAACCUAAGAAAUAAUUAAUUUAACAAAUUUUUAAUAAAAUUAACCAUUCUCUUAUAUUUUCCUUUAACUCCCAACUAAUAUAAUUCAUUCCUAUCCUACGUAUAACCGCGGCUGCUGGCACGACUUUAGCCGAUCAUACAUCAAAUUACUAAUUCCAAAUUUCUUUGAUUAAUUAAAUCCAAAUACUGCGAAUAAUAACCACACCUUCUAGAUUUUAUAAUUACACACAAAAAUUUACAUGUAAAAUAUCCAAAUAAUAAAUUUACAAGCAAAAAUAAAACUU